GGUUGCUGACGCUGAGCGAGGACUCUGUUCCAGCACCCAGCGCCAGCCGCUGAGCAGCUCAAACGCACAACGUCAAGGGACGCAGCAACUGCAGGAAACCCUGCAACGAGCUCCAGCAACGACAAAGCAAAUACUCAAAGAGUCCGCGUCCGCAAAGAAGAGAUGAGGAUACAGGGAUCAGACAUCAGCACACUGCUGGCGACAUUCUACCCAAAGCUAUACACCAAGAUCUACCCACACUGCUGUGUGGUCUCCACCCUCACCUACAGUCCUCUACCUGCCAUAUUUGUGCACUACAUCUCUCUGUCAACAAUCAACCCGCCGCCCAGGAGUGCCAGGAUAUGUCAGUGCAUGGAGUGGUCACCUAAGCAACAGAUUGUUCACAGUGUUUCUCAGUGUCAUUCCUGUGACACUGGCCCUGUACAGUGACUAAGUGGUCACCCUUGUGAUGGAUGUUUCAUGACAUUGUGAUUAUUAUGUAAUUAGUUUCUUGUACCAACAGUGCUAUCAAUAAAUAUUAA